rnacentral:lncRNA from 1 species
GCCAAAACCCCUAACUGGGCAGGUGCAGGAAGAGACUGGCACCGGAUGCAAUAACAGACCUUUGUUUUUCCUUCUAACCUACUCAGAAUCUAGCAGCUCUGAACUACAACAGAAGCCUUCUGUUAGGUCAGUCUCCUGGAGGCCAGAUUGUCACCUUAGGAGUCUGUCUGAGAGCUGCCCACCUGUGUCCUGACUGAGCUGCUACUUCCUAACAGCCAGCUCUGCUACCCAUCACCAAGUGGUGCCCUGCCUGACUUCCAACACACUGUGGGUCACUAGAGUUGAAUGGGAAAGAGCAGAGACUGGGGAAGAGGGCACAGCUAGCAACAAGACAUGUCAUCACCCUGUUCUUGCUCAUCUCUGGGUACUGUGUGCUUCAGGAAGCCCAAACAAGGGUGAAGUUCAGCUGAAGUGUCUAACCAGCCUCCUCUCUGAUAUGCAAAAUUAUGAUGACUUGGAAAGCUCAAAGAGAAGUGUCUGGAAUCAGAAUUGCUUGGUGGAAAGGCAAAGCAGGAGGACCCACAUUGGAUUAUAAACCUCUCUGGAAGAAAAUCUUACUCAGGAGGCAAACAGACUUCUUCCCAUGAACACUAGGCUAGAAACAACCCAUUAAACCCAUCAAGUGGAGAAUAGGAAAUGAGAAAGAAGACAAUGGACUCUACAUAGAAAACAUCUAUCUACAAACAUGAGUAAGUGUUUCAAUAAUUGCUGAAGAACAACAAGCCAAUGAAUGCUGCAGGCGAACUGACCUGGGAAAGCUUCCUCUUGGCCAACAUGGAAAUAGGAGGUUCAGAUUGGUGGAGGAAAAGAGGGACACCUCACACUUGCCCAGCAUGAUCAGCAGUAAAAAACACCAUAUGGAGAAGUUCAUGAUCAGGGGAGAGGAAGGCAGCUGCCUGGAGCCCUAUCCAUCAUCCACAUUCAGGUUCCCACGAUCAAUGCCACAGUCAGUCAUUGGCCAUCCUUGAAACACCAGAAUCAUUAUGAACAAACACCAGAGACUCACAGAUUGAAUUCCUCUUACUGCUCCAGAGGCCAGCAAUGCCAAACAUACAGGAUGCACAAAAAUUGCUUUAUGAGAUUGCUGAUUCUCUGAGACCAGCUACAUCCUUUUCUUGAAUCUUAUCUUUCUCAUCUACUUCUCUGACUCCAGAGCUUUUCUAUAAUAAUGUUUUGAGCUGAAAGUACACUAUAUUUCAGAUCUCCCUUUAAUAUUUUGGUUAAGAUGAAAAUCAUGUCUCUCAAGAGGGAGAAUAUCCAAAUUUGAAUCUUGACCUUUAUUUGGAUUCCCGGAGUAACUUUGUGAAAACUCUCUUAUUCUCCCAUUCCCCAUUCCAUUAUUUAUAAAAUAAAACUGUCUUAUACCUAA